GCAUGUGAGGGUGAUCUGGUUGUGACAUCUGUCAUCCCACUGAACAACCAUGGUUGAUUUGGUUAAUCUGGCUGGCUAGCCAGGUGGUGUCCCCUUUUUUCUUCACUGCUCCUUGUGCUUCAUUUCUGAUGGAGAAUGCUUUAUUGGCCUUUUCCAACAGAAGACCAUCUUUGGUUGAGAGUUAAGGUGCCCUUCUGUUAGAACUUCCAAACAAGCUCUCAGUGAAUAUAAUAGAAGUUUUAAACCAAGCAUGGUGGCUCAUUUCUAUAGUCCUAG
rnacentral:snRNA from 1 species